AUGCCGCCUCCACCUCUCCCUCAGCCGCAGCCGCCUCCUCCUAUUCCUCCUCGGUGGGAGAGGAAGGCUCAUGCCCGCAACAUCUGUGGAGAGCUGCGGCAGCCGGCAGUGGAGGAGGAGCAGCAGCCAACGGCAGAUCGGCGUGUCACGAGAGCAGACACAUCGGCCGUCACGGGCAGAGAAGAGAGAAGAUGGCGCGGCGGCUGGGUGGUUGUCUGGACUAGAUCCCGCCAUCACCUCCAGCCGCCGCCUCGUUCAUCUGUGUCCAUCUCGGCGAGACCAAGGGCGCGCCUCAUGUCCACCGCUCUGCUACUUCCGCCCUACACUUUGCUCCCUCCGGUGUCGUCCUCGCCUUCGACCGCAAGGACCUCUGGGACGUUGUUCUGCAACACGGCUUCUUCCGACGUCAUGGCCACCAUGGUCAGGCUGCAGGUGACUAAUUUUGUGUUCCUGGAUUCGAGUAAGAAGCUGGUGACCUGCUCCAAGGAAAAGAUUAUCUGGGUCUCGGACCUCGACACACAACAAUGCCUUCAAACUGUAGGUGGCCAUCACAACAAGAUAUGGUCGAUGGAUGUUGAUUCUAGCGAGAAGUUUGUGAUGAUGGGUUUGGUUGAUAUUUUCAGAGUAAAAGUGCUUGAUCUUUCCGACCAUACGCUAACUAUUGAGGACGAUGUUUAUCCUAUGGAAUCCUAUGGAACCUUCCCGUGGUUCCUCGAAAUGGUCAGGCCUCCUCUCUCUCUCCUCUUCCUUGCCUUUGACAGCCGCGCCCAGAGGAGGUCAUCCCUGGCGCCGAUAGCCCCCACUGUUCUCCCAUUCUUUGUAUUUUGUCAACCGCUGAUCGAGGUGUAUGGGACGGCCAAGAGCGAGGUGUGCAUCGCGUCCAUGGGGGUGCUGCACCCGGAGCUGGUCAUGAAGUCCAUUGUGAAUGUUGUCAUGGCGGGGCGCUUAGGAUCUACGCCCUCAUCACCACAGUCAUCAUCUUCACUAGGAUCAACCCCAGGUUCAAGCCCUACUUCCUCUUCUAUGGUUACACGCACCUCUCCUGCGGCCUUGCCGACAGCAUGGCCAUCGGCAUCUUUGGUGACGCUGGUGGCAAGGCGCGUGUCUUCUCAGGGUUAUCGUCGCGUUGCUUCCCCCGCAUAUGAUGCCUGCAUCAAAGGUUUGGUGCUUUCAAAGCUGCCAGCAAUUGUUGUGAUUGACCAUGGGAAGGAAGCUUUUAUCACUUGUGGAGAUUUUAGACCGGGUGAAGAAGACUUCCCUUUACCCAUGGAUUACUCUUUCCUGUGCUUCUCUGUGUUAAGGUCACCCAAUUCUGAUGUGCCGAAAAGGAGAGCAAGGGCACGGCAGUGCCUCCUUCCCAUCUUCACCCAGAUGAGCAGUGAACUUGGGAGGAUUUCUAUUCCGAUGUGA
rnacentral:rRNA from 1 species